UCCCUGCAUGACUAGUGGUUAGGCCUUGGCGCUCUCAACGCCACGGCCCGGGUUCGAUUCCCGGCCAGGGCA